ACCUGUCAAGGGGUGGGAUAUAUUAGUCAGCAAGUGUAGAGUAAGUUCUUUAAUUUCAUCUGUUUUGUAAGCAGAAUGGGCAUUGUAGUUUGCUGUGUAGCUGACCGGUCAGAGUGCUCAUGACAACCCCUGUCCACCACCUAAUGCUUCUUCGCUUUGGAUCUGAGCAUCAGAACUAGACCAUGGAGCAAUGGAAGAAAGUUG